GGACGAACGCUGGCGGCGUGCUUAACACAUGCAAGUCGAACGGAAAGGCCCUGCUUUUGUGGGGUGCUCGAGUGGCGAACGGGUGAGUAACACGUGAGUAACCUGCCCUUGACUUUGGGAUAACUUCAGGAAACUGGGGCUAAUACCGGAUAGGAGCCCCUGCUGCAUGGUGGGGGUUGGAAAGUUUCGGCGGUUGGGGAUGGACUCGCGGCUUAUCAGCUUGUUGGUGGGGUAGUGGCUUACCAAGGCUUUGACGGGUAGCCGGCCUGAGAGGGUGACCGGCCACAUUGGGACUGAGAUACGGCCCAGACUCCUACGGGAGGCAGCAGUGGGGAAUAUUGCACAAUGGGCGGAAGCCUGAUGCAGCAACGCCGCGUGCGGGAUGACGGCCUUCGGGUUGUAAACCGCUUUCGCCUGUGACGAAGCGUGAGUGACGGUAAUGGGUAAAGAAGCACCGGCUAACUACGUG
rnacentral:rRNA from 1 species